GAUGAAGAACGUAGCGAAAUGCGAUACGUAAUGUGAAUUGCAGAAUUCAGUGAAUCAUCGAAUCUUUGAACGCACAUUGCGCCUGCCAGCACUCUGGCAGGCAUGCCUGUUCGAGCGUCAUUUCAACCAUCAAGCCCUAGGCUUGCGUUGGAGCCCUGCGGCUGCCGCAGGCCCCUAAAAGCAGUGGCGGGCUCGCUAUCACACCGAGUGCAGUAGAUUACUCUUCGCUCAGGGCGUGUGGCGGGUUCCAGCCGUGAAACCCCUACUUCUCAAGGUUGACCUCGGAUCAGGUAGGAAUACCCGCUGAACUUAAGCAUAUCAAUAAGCUGAGGA
rnacentral:misc_RNA from 1 species